rnacentral:rRNA from 1 species
ACGGGGUGCAGCAGGCGCGAAGCCUCCGCAAUACACGAAAGUGUGACGGGGUUACCCAAAGUGUUCUAUUUAGAACUGUGGUAGGUGAGUAAUGUCCCCUACUAGAAAGGAGAGGGCAAGGCUGGUGCCAGCCGCCGCGGUAAAACCAGCUCUUCAAGUGGUCGGGAUAAUUAUUGGGCUUAAAGUGUCCGUAGCCGGUUUAGUAAGUUCCUGGUAAAAUCGGGUAGCUUAACUAUCUAUAUGCUAGGAAUACUGCUAUACUAGAGGGCGGGAGAGGUCUGAGGUACUACAGGGGUAGGGGUGAAAUCUUAUAAUCCUUGUAGGACCACCAGUGGCGAAGGCGUCAGACUGGAACGCGCCUGACGGUGAGGGACGAAAGCCAGGGGAGCGAACCGGAUUAGAUACCCGGGUAGUCCUGGCCGUAAACGAUGCAUACUAGGUGAUGGCACGGCCAUGAGCCGUGUCAGUGCCGUAGGGAAACCGUUAAGUGUGCCGCCUGGAAGUACGUCGCAAGGC